rnacentral:misc_RNA from 1 species
GCAGGGGCAAAACCACCAUCAAGAUCUUGGUCAUGUUCCAUAUCAUCUGCAACAUCUUCAGAUCGACCAAAGUUUUGCCCAUCAUUAAAUGAUUCAACAUGGUCAGCUGACACAGAAUCAUGGUUGGAUUGGGGCACAAUUUCUGUGGAUUGGGAUAUAUCAACAAUAUUCUCGGCCCUAGCUAAUUGACUCUGAACAGGAGGUUUUAUUGAAUUCUCACUCUUCCCAGUACUAGACUCAGCUGUGUUAACAUGUUCUUUGGUCACCAACUCCAAAGCUUUGACAAGUGCAGUCACGAGUUUAGGCGAGUCAGUAUGAUCCAGAUCCAACACUUCCAGUGUUCGAGUCAAGGACUUAACCAGACCAAC